CCCCUCUCAGGGUCUCUCCUGGAGAGUUUCAAGUAUUCUAUCAGUCUUGGCUAUGGGAUGGAGAGUCAAGCAGAGGCAUACCCAUUCCAUUCCUAGCUUGGGCAGUGGCUAGGGAGCGGAAGGCAAUCUGCUACAAGU
rnacentral:snoRNA from 1 species